rnacentral:rRNA from 1 species
UACGUAGGUGGCAAGCGUUGUCCGGAUUUACUGGGCGUAAAGAGCGCGCAGGCGGUCGUUCAAGUCGCGUGUGAAAGCCCCCGGCUCAACUGGGGGGGGUCACGCGAUACUGAUCGACUCGAAGGCAGGAGAGGGUAGUGGAAUUCCCGGUGUAGUGGUGAAAUGCGUAGAUAUCGGGAGGAACACCAGUGGCGAAGGCGGCUCACUGGACCGGUAUUGACGCUGAGGUGCGAAAGCGUGGGGAGCGAACAGG